rnacentral:rRNA from 1 species
UGCAGUCGAGCGGUAGAGAGAAGCUUGCUUCUCUUGAGAGCGGCGGACGGGUGAGUAAUGCCUAGGAAUCUGCCUGGUAGUGGGGGAUAACGUUCGGAAACGGACGCUAAUACCGCAUACGUCCUACGGGAGAAAGCAGGGGACCUUCGGGCCUUGCGCUAUCAGAUGAGCCUAGGUCGGAUUAGCUAGUUGGUGGGGUAAUGGCUCACCAAGGCGACGAUCCGUAACUGGUCUGAGAGGAUGAUCAGUCACACUGGAACUGAGACACGGUCCAGACUCCUACGGGAGGCAGCAGUGGGGAAUAUUGGACAAUGGGCGAAAGCCUGAUCCAGCCAUGCCGCGUGUGUGAAGAAGGUCUUCGGAUUGUAAAGCACUUUAAGUUGGGAGGAAGGGCAGUUACCUAAUACGUGAUUGUUUUGACGUUACCGACAGAAUAAGCACCGGCUAACUCUGUGCCAGCAGCCGCGGUAAUACAGAGGGUGCAAGCGUUAAUCGGAAUUACUGGGCGUAAAGCGCGCGU